rnacentral:tRNA from 2 species
GCACCCUUAGCUCAGCUGGAUAGAGCGCUGCCCUCCGGAGGCAGAGGUCAGAGGUUCGAAUCCUCUAGGGUGCGCCA